UGAGAAGGUGUCCUGGAGGUGGGUGACCUUUGAGUUGGGCCAGGAAGGAUACGGAAAAGUCGAGGAAAGAGGAUGGAGCCUGCUAGAAGAGAGAGAAGGAAGACUUGCAGACACAGACAAGGAGAAAAGUUUGCCUGCCCCGGCUAUCUGUUGCACAAGACAGAAUGCAGCUCAGGCUGAUUGGAGUUAAAAGAGAAAGGAGGGCCCAGCGCAGAAGCUACGCUGACUGCUCACGGAGAAGGCCACCCUGAAGGGACAGAUCGUCAUAUCAUGGAAAUCACUCCCAGAUGACUGGAUCCAAUGGACUCACCAGACACGUUUCCAAUUAUCAUUCAUGGGACACGAGUGGAGCUGCACGCAUGCGCACCGGGUCGGGACGGCGAGCUGCUGGAUACGGCAGGGUGUUUACGGGCCUGUCUCCCCUGUUGUCUGUGUCGUCUGCCAGGGGCCACAUCCCGUUUGUCCACUGGGCCCAGCACCCAGCAAGAGGCCCACAUAGAGCCAGAAGGCUGGGACCCCUUUACAGAAGGGACCCUGUCUUUGCUACCCUUGGAUUCUCACCACCCAGAACAGUGCCUGGCCCACAGGAUUAUGUAUUUGGUGCAUGUUCAGCAGAUGAACCAACGAAUGAAUGAAUGAAUGAAUGAGGGUUUUCCAGGUAAGAAAGAGGAGGGGGUAGAGCAGGUGCAUGGAAUAGCUCAGAUGGGUGGGAGCAGGCAAGCCUGGGAGCUCAGUGCUGGUGCUGAGAGCCCAGGCGAGCGGGGUAGGAAGGGAGUGUAGUCAGCACCAGCAGGGUAGAGGGGCAGAGACACAAAGGACAGCUUGCGGGGGUCACACUUGGGGUGACAAACUCUGAUGCCUUCAGAAGCCAGGCAGACAGAAGACAUCAAUGAGGGUGGCAGGAGUGGUGGGGCCACGGAGGCCUGGAGUGAGCAUAACCCACCGGCGGCACUGGAGUGCAACACGGCUCACAUGCUCUUGUUAGCCCGUUACAACACCCAGGUUUGGGUCACGGAUUUGCCACUUUCCCCACCCUGCCCCCUGUGCUUUAGACUGUAGACAGGGUUGUAUGGAGCUGUGGGGAGGUCCUGCCUUGAAUUGCUGGGGAAGAGGAAAUACAUCCCAGCUUGGCCCUUCAAGCUCCAGAAGCCUCCUGAGCCUCUUUUCUUUUCUGCCCCUGGCUUGUUCACCUGCUUGUUCACCUGCCCUUGCACACCUGUCGGGCUGGCUGGGACAAUGGAUACUCAGUGGUCUGCAGAUACUGGAGACCUGGGCCCAGGUUGGGGCGGGUGGUUCGUUCCACGGCUGAGGCUGGGGAAUGUCUGAACUACCGUGGAGAAAGGCCGACUGUAAUGGACAACCUUACAGGAGAUCUGGAAUAUCUCCCUCGAGGGAAGGUUCUGGCCGAGCGGGAAAGGCCCCUGACUGGAGUGGGGAAGCAGAGUUCAUGCAGAUGAAGUGACCAAGGCAGAGAGGAUGGCCGGGGAGGCUGGAGUGGCCUGAGAGGAGAUUCUGGAAAAGCCAGAGCUGCUAAGGGAGAAUGGCAGCAGGGUGUGAACAGUCAGGGAGGUGGCCUGAAGCUUCUCCAGUAGCUUGAUUCCCUGAGACCCGGCCAGAGCAGGAGCAGCAUCUGGAAGAAGGUCGGCCAGUGGAGGGCCUCGAUGAUGCUUCUGGAAGCCUGGGGUGGAAGGCUGGGUUAGAUUCUCAGCCACACUUCAGCAGUCCUCAUAGCCAGACACAAGUCCCUGUCCCCCACCUGGACCAAUCCUGGGGUGCCCCUGCUCACUGGUACUGGGAGGGCAGAGCAGGCCCCAGUUCCCAGGGUCGUGGAAGUUAGCUUCCUGGUGACUCCAGGCCCAUGCGUGCCCGGCACUGUGUCUCAUCACCCGCAGAGGUGCCUGGCACCUAGCAAGGACUGUAUAAAUGAGUGGAGGGUUUAGAGUCCCAGGCGGAGCCCAUGCCCGGUCUCCAGAGGCCUAGGAGCAGUUGGACAAACACUUCCUGGGCAUCUACCAUGAGGCGACAGUAGGCAGGGGCUAGGGCCUCUCCCGUGGCUGGGACCGAUCGGGUCCUGCCCCCAUGGAGUGCAUAGUACUAGGGGGAGGCAGAGCCCUGUGGUCUUCCAUGGCCAGGGAAGCUGUGGCUGCCCUGGCGGGGGCGCCCUGGGGAACUUUCUGAGUCCUCCACUCUGUGUGGGCUCCUCCUUCCUCCCCUUUUCUUGCCCUCCCACCAGUUCCCAUUCCCUCUCCAAGGUCUGGCUCGAAUAGCACCUCAUAGGGCAAGUCCUCCGGUAGCCUCCUCCCAGUUGGGCUUCCUCUUGGGUCAGCUUUAUUCCGCUGUUCUCAGUCGCUGUGCUUAGGGGCUCUGUGCAUCCAUGGCAUCCAAGGCCAUGUGCCUGGCGGGUGUUUGUUGAGUGAAUGUCUGACCUGGCAGGCCUUGGGACGGCCUUCCUCUCUUCUGCUUGGAAAGUGCAGAUGGGGCACUGAAGGACUUGGUCCUGCUCUAUGUCCCCUACUUCCACCCUUCAGGUGGCCCAGAGCCCUGACAAAUAACAAGAGACCCUGUUUUGCUCGCCUUAAAGUACUUUGGAAUCUACGCCAGAUAGUGCUUGGCCCCGGGUAUGCAUCAUUUCAUUUUAUUCUUGCCAUGGCCUUAGGAUUUGAUUGUGCCAUUAUCAUCCUCAUUUUACAAAGAGGAGGAAGUGAAAACUCAGUGGCUCAGAGAGGCCAAGACAUGGGCCCAAGUUCACACAGCCCAGGCUUUGUCCUUAAGACAGAUGGCUUAGCCUGUGUGUCUGGUUAAGGAGGGUCCUGUGUCCAGCUGAAGAGGACAGAAGGUCCUCCUGCCCCCACGACACAUUCCAGAUACUAAAACUGUCUCCACCUGGAGUCCUGUGGACUUGCCCCAGCCUUGGUGUUGUUCCCACGGGGAGCUGCCUGGGCUGCUCCAACACUUGUAGCUUCCCUGAUCCUCAAGGCCCGAAUCACAGGUGGGAUCUGAUUUAUGCUGCUUUUCCUUGUGCGCUGCGCAGGGGUCAUUCUUGGUCAUCUGGCCUCACACUCGCUGAAGUCAGGGGUGGAGCCUGGACACACAGCAGGUGCUUAACUGAGGACGUGUGGCUUUAUGGCUAUGUGGCUAAGGUCGUGUCUCUUUGAAGGUUGUCAGUCCCCAUGGAUAGCCACCUGCCUUUCCCUCUUGAAAGCUGGUAAUUCCCUUGUCCAUUCUAACCAGUGUCUUUCCUAGAUGGCCACUAAAGAGUUGGCCUGGCUGAUGGAGAAGGCAGGAGGCCCAGGGCGUCUGUCUCAGCACUGCCAUGAAUGGGUUGCAGGGCUUUGUCUCUGGGUCCUCAGAUGCCUCAUUUAUGGACAGAAUAAUCAGACACGGCCUUCAGGGUAUAGUGAGGGCUCAAGGAAACUCAGGGGCCAUCUUCUGGGCCUCAUUUUUGGCUAAGCUGCCCAAGGCUGAGAACUACUGUGGGUACCCUUUGAUUCCAAAGAAGAUGCCAGAUGAACAGGCUGGGGUUCGAGGUAGAUGAAUAAUAGCAGCUUUUAUGAGCGUAGCGCAACACUCCUCACUGUAAGGAUAAGGAAGAGGCCCUCAAAAGAGCUCUCUUGGGGGUUAGGGGAAGGGUGCUGGGGCGUGUGUCCUCCCCCUCCCCUCCAGCCUAAUGAGAGGCUUUCAGGAGGGUAUGCCAGAGUUCUCCAAGAAACAGAACCAAUAAGAUAUUGCUGGUCUAAGCCUUGGAGUCCAAAGACUAAGAAGCAGGAACUCUGAUGUCCAAAGACUAAGAAGCAGGAGCUCUGAUGUCCAAGUGCAGGAGAAGGCGGAUAUUGCUAUUCAAGAAGAGAGGGAAAAUCUGCCCUUCCUCUGUUGUUUUGUUCUAGACCUCAAGGGAUUGGAUGAUGCCUGUCCCCAUUAGUGAGCAUGAGUCUUUUCUACUCAAAUUCAGAUGUUAGUAUCUUCUGGAAAGACCCUCACAGACACAACCAGACAUCAUGUUUAACUGUGACCUGGGUAUCCUUUAACCCAGUCAAGUUGACAAAUAAUAUUAGCCAUAACAGAGAGCUUGGCAAAGGACCCCGAAGUUUGGGAAAUACGAUGUUAGGCAUCUGCUCCAUGCCCAAGAUGUCUGAUAGAAAGCCACUGUGGGUGGCAGGGUCUGGGGCAGCAGAAAGAACAAUGAAGCACGCGUUUAGGUCAGCUGCCCUCUUGCCAGUGAGCACACAGGGGAGCACCUGUGUUCCAGCAUCCGGCUGAGCAGCUCCUCCAAAGAAGCAGGCCCAGAGGGGCCGUGGGGCCUCAAAAAGCUCCUCAGAGGCCCGGCAACUAAGGAAGCAUCUGGAAGUGAUCAGCCAUAGCUGAGAUGAUGGUAUUCUCAGCAAGGGACUCAUCCAAGAACCCAUGACAGCCCCACAUGAGAAAGAGCUGGAUUUUAUCUACCAGCUCCAUGGAGGACAACACCAGGUCCCAGAUGCCCUGCUGCAGAAGAGUCCGGACAUCCGGCCCCUUGAUCGCUGCUGGGCCUCACCCUCAGGGAUCAGAAUCCAAGGUCAUGCACUAAAGGAGGAGAGCAGAGGUUGGGAGAGAGGGGAGGUAGGUUGCCUCUCUCCUUCAAGGCCAGUGGCAUUCCAGCCCCAGCUGAUGGAGGAGGCUGGCUGGAAAUGGGACGAGACUAUGGUCUUAACUGGACUGGACAUUCUAGUUCGCAAAAUAAGACUCUUGGUUACUUAUGGAAUUUAUUACCAGAGAGUAAUAGAAAAAAAUGUAUGCCACUAACCUGUUGAGAUUUCAUUCAGCUCAGGGAAAGAAUCACACCCAUCUAGCGGGUUUUACAUUUUGGUACUUUGUACAUUGUGGACGUGGUGGGGUUUUUUUGUUUUUGUUUUUGGUUUUUUUUUGGCCUUUUUUGAUUCUGAUUUUUUUUAAAACAGUGCUUUAAAAUAUGAUUUAUUUGGUAUUCCUGGGAUUUUUGAUACUAUCUUAAAUUUUGCUCCCCAGGCCAGUGCUUCCCUUGGGCUCACCCUCCUCCCGGUCCUCGGUGAGGAAGAAAAUGAAGGUCAUUCCCAGCUUGCGCACUCCUGGGUUUCGCAGAUUCACUCUGCAGCCUCCAGCACGCUCUGCAGCAAAGCCAUGGUAGUACCACUGCUACUGAGGAUGAGAAUGACGACUAACUUUUGUCUCUAUUCUACAGAAGAGAAAAGCAAGGCCGGGAGAGCUCAAGUGAGCUGCUCGACAUCUCACCGCAGAAGCGCCCCAGAGCUGGGAUUUGAACCCGGGCAGUCCGGCCCCGGAGUCCACGCUCCUAGCUGCUCCCUACAACUGCCCCCCUGGUAGACAGUGUCCUUGUUUAGUGUCACCUGAUGCUGCCUGGGCUUAAAACCAGAGACGGGCGGCUCCUUGCCAGCUGUUUUCCCAGCUCUCGUUGGAAAUGGAUAGUGGAAACCCAGUUUGCACCCAGAGCUGGGUGCAUCGCCUCACUCUCUGCCUGGGUACAGUUCUACUCUGUGAGGCCAUGCUCAGCUCUCUGUUCCAUCUCCUAGUCCCCCCAGGGCCCCACCCUUGGUAGGUAGGGGAGGAGCAGAGGGUGGGCCCUGGGAGCCCGAGACCAGGGCAGGGACUGGCCGUUGGGAGUGAGGUCCAAGCCGUGCUGAUUUGCAGAUGGAAAUUUACAUACAUAAUGUAAUUUGGGCCAAUUGAAUUGUCGAUUAAGAUGGAAUCACUUGACAUGCAACACGUACUCUGGCGGGUGACCGAGGAGACAAGAGGCCCUUGAGAUGCCUGUAGCAAAAACACGCUUUUGUUUUUCAAGGAGAUGGCCAUUUCCAAAUUCCACAUUUUAACAACCUCCUCUCUCAAGCCCCCCUUCCCUCUGGGUCACAGCUGGGAUCUGUUGAAAUGAAAAACUUUAUGGGCAAUUCACAUUUAAAUCCCAGGCACAGUCAGCAUGCUCCUGGGUGCAGCUGGGGAGGGGGGCCCUAGACACCUCCUCAGACUGCGGAGGCUGCAGGCCAGGGCCCUGGGUUGGAGCCCUACAACCUCCAACCUAUGACAAGCUAGGAAGUGGUGCUGGACACACACUGGGGCCGUGGGGGAAGGGAGGGGUGCACUUCCUGCCUCCAUGAUCUUGGGCACCAGGCUUUGCCUCUCAGAGCCUCAAGCUCCUCAUCUAUGAAGUGGAGAGAAUGUUCCACCAUCAUCUGUGAUGAUUAUGGUGGGAAGGCAAGGUGAUAACCUAAGAACCUUGGAAAUCAUUACAUGAUGCUCAUAAUAAUAACAAAGGGUAACUACCACAUUGCCACGAGGCUCCAAACUCUCGGUAUUACUUGUUAUUUUCAGGUUUAUUAAAACAGCAAAUUCCUUGUUGCCUCAGGGCAUUUGCACAGUUUGUUUGAUUGUUCACUUCCUUCCUGCUGUGCCCUCCCUCCUCCCCUGCCCUUUGCCUGGUGGGCCUUCCAUCUUUCCUUAAGCUUCUACCUAAAUUCACUUUUCCAGGGACUUCUGUCUCCAUCCAAGCCUUCCUGUUCUAUGUUCUGAAUGCCCCGAACCUUUCCUUCUUACACAGUUGUAAUUUGAUAUGAUUCCUUGUGUCCUAUCAACCUCCAUACCAAGCUCUAAGUUCCACCAAGGCAAGAGCAUGUUUGCCUUAUUCACUGCUGAUCCUUGGUGUGUGCUGCAAAGUAGACUUUCAAAAAAGCAGGUGUUGCAUGUUGGCAAAACACACUCCUUCUCUUCACCUGGCUAAUUCCUGCCAAUCCUUUAGGUCUCAGUGUACACAUCACCUCCUCUGGGAAUCCUUCCCAGAUGCCCCUGAUUUAAGUAAGGUGCCUCCCUUGUGGGUACUAUAACAGCCCACCCCUGGGGGGGUGCUUCCCACCACAAGACCCCUGGACGAUUACUGCUCAUUUGUUGGUCUCCAUCCCCCACUGGACAGCAAAUUUCCAAGGUCAGGGCUGGCAUCUUAUUCACUGGGGCACUCCAACACCCAGCUCAGAACCUGGCCUACAGUUUAUCACCGAAAAAACAAAUCAGAGGUCCAAUCUGGACAAGAGACUGUGGCUCACACUGUGGCGGUGGAUGGAGGGGAUAGGACCCAGAGGCUUAAGGUGAGGGAGUGAUGAAUCCCAUGUGGAGAUGGCUGGGACCGUGGAGAGCGCUUGUCAGGCAUAGGAAAGACCUGUGCCCAAUGAAUCAGGGCGCCCUGAGUCCUGGGAGAACCCAGUUUGGGUUCCUACAGGCUUCUUGAGAGAGCCAGACGGAGCUGAAUGUUGGGGGUGGGUGGUGGUGUUUGGGACUACUGGCAAGUUGGAAAGAGGGGUCUGGCACUGAGAGGGUGACACAAGAGCUCCUUGGCCAGCUAGCUGAGAGCCCUCCCAGUGCCCAGAAUGGGCCGCUGUGGGGAUGCCAUCUGGGUGCCCUUGUCCCAUGGGCUCGCAAGGGCCCAUGUGCUUUCUGUCUGCAUGCAAAGUGAGGGGCAAGGCUGGCUGUGGCGGUUCCACCCCCUCUUCUGCUGGCUCUGGUUCCAGGAUUAGCGCUCAGCAACUGAAGUCUUGCUGCCUUUGCCCUGCACCAGGUCCUCACUCAAGGAGCCCGGCCAAGAGUGUGGAGCCUUUGGGGGUCUUAUCAGGCUGUCUACUCCCAAAAUCCCUUGGACUCCAGGUGUAGCCCUAGGGGCCUGGCCUUGCCUCAGUGUCCCCACUGCAUGGUAAAAGAGCCUUCGCAAAUCCAAGGGAUGGAAGAGUUUUGCACACAAUAGGUGCUUAAUGAAUGCUUGUUGAAACCCAGCUGGGAUCCCAAAACUAUCAUCCCCCACACUUGUUUUUCUAGCCACCUGUUUAGAACAGCAUAGACCUAUGAGCUCAUUUAUAAACCUAAUAAAAGCUGUUAGAAGACAAGGGUAGAGAACAGAGCCUAUGGCACUCUACUAGGUAUUUCCUUCUGGGCUGGUGUGAACCCAUGUUCAGCAGUGUUUAGGAGUUUCCCAGGUUAUUAGAUAAUAAAUUGGGCCCAACUUUGUGGCCAUAGAACUCAUCUCUUCCUGACCUUUCUAGAAUAAAGUAUGGGGAAAGUCUGACAAUACCUUUCAGGAACUCUUUGGGUUCUGUUGACUUUCUCCUCUCUCCCAGAGCCGGCCGCUACCUUCUGUGAGUACCGACCAUCAUGGGGAGCUGAUCACCUCUGUGGAGACGGGGUACAUAUUGGCCUUGGAAUAGAUACUCUGGCCCAUUCUCAAGGGGUGAGUCUGAGGGAGGGGGCAA